rnacentral:rRNA from 1 species
CCUACGGGAGGCAGCAGUGAGGAAUAUUGGUCAAUGGACGAGAGUCUGAACCAGCCAAGUAGCGUGAAGGAUGACUGCCCUAUGGGUUGUAAACUUCUUUUAUAUGGGAAUAAAACGUUUCACGUGUGGGAUUUUGUAUGUACCAUAUGAAUAAGGAUCGGCUAACUCCGUGCCAGCAGCCGCGGUAAUACGGAGGAUCCGAGCGUUAUCCGGAUUUAUUGGGUUUAAAGGGAGCGUAGGUGGAUUGUUAAGUCAGUUGUGAAAGUUUGCGGCUCAACCGUAAAAUUGCAGUUGAAACUGGCAGUCUUGAGUACAGUAGAGGUAGGCGGAAUUCGUGGUGUAGCGGUGAAAUGCUUAGAUAUCACGAAGAACCCCGAUUGCGAAGGCAGUUCACUGCACUGCAACUGACACUGAGGCUCGAAAGUGUGGGUAUCAAACAGGAUUAGAUACCCGAGUAGUC